AGUGAAAUUGCUGGGUCACAUGGUAAGAAUACAUUUACUUUUGUAAGUAAUCUUCAAACUGUCUCCCAAAGUGGCUAUACCGGUUUUCAUUCCCACCAGCAAU
rnacentral:pre_miRNA from 1 species